rnacentral:lncRNA from 1 species
GAGAAGCCAAGACUUAAAAUUAGAGUAGGAUCAAGAUCACAAAUAUAAAUAAGACUCAAAUAAAGGUCUUCAUUUAUUUUCAUUGCUUCAUUGUUUCUCUUGAUCUUUUCUUGAACUUCUUGUUUUUGUACUCCAAUUUUGGUCCGUUAAUUGAUUGCAUAUCAUCUAUACAAAACAAAUAUACUUUAGUAUAAACAAAAGUAUAUCUCAAUAAUAACUUACGAUUAUUUGGCAUGUAUAAUAUUUUCCAUCUUCAUCGGUUUGUCAUUUAUCAAAACCUAUACAUAUGAACACAUUAGUUUUAACAACAUAAUAAAUGUGUUCU